GCCUGUUUGAGAAUCUAUAGUAUUCUUUCUUGCCCANCNUUUUAAAGUUUAGGCAAGAGAUUUGGGUCUCCCUAGCAUUGUUAGGGUUACUUGAAAUAGAUUGCCUCUGUCUUGUAGAAAACGACGACGUUUUUCGUACCCUUCAGAAAAGUAUUUGAAUGGAGCCUUUUGGUUACUUAUGAUGCUGAUUACGUAGGAGAAAAAAAGAGUUUCCUAUGGACUUGGGGUUCAUAACCAUAAAAGUCGUUUUCGGGCGAUUUUGAACCAUGGUCUCAAAUCAGGUAGGAAGACCCGCUGAACUUAAGCAUAUCAAUAAGCGGAGGAAAAGAAACUAACAAGGAUUCCCCUAGUAACGGCGAGUGAAGCGGGAAUAGCUCAAAUUUGAAAUCUCCUUCGGGCGAAUUGUAGUUUAGAGAAGCGUUUUCUGCUGGCGGGUAGGUACAAGUUCUUUGGAACAAGACAUCAUAGAGGGUGAAAAUCCCGUCUUUGACCUACCUCAAGGCUUUGUGAUACGUUUUCCAAGAGUCGGUUUGUUUGGGUAUGCAGACCAAAAUGGGAGGUAAAUACCUUCUAAAGCUAAAUAUUGGCGAGAGACCGAUAGCGAACAAGUACCGUGAGGGAAAGAUGAAAAGAACUUUGAAAAGAGAGUUAAACAGUACGUGAAAUUGUCAAAAGGGAAACGUUUGAAACCAGUAUUGCUGGCGAGAAUUCAGCUACUAU
rnacentral:rRNA from 1 species